rnacentral:lncRNA from 1 species
CUUUCUUUUCAUGUUCCAUGUACCUUGAAAAUCAUCAUUGGAGCCUGCUAAAUUCGUAGAAUUUGAUUGUUGGUUCUCUUUUUUACCCGCAAAUUUUAUCAUCUUUGUUCCUUGUCUUGACCGCUGUGACCAUUAAAAACAUUUAGUCAGUUGGCAAAGAUGCCCCGUUCCCACUUCUCCUCUCCCUCUUUAGUGGAAUAAUAAAAGCAUUGCUAGCUUUGUUUGUGGGGCUUCCUUGUAUGACAGUUGCAUCAUUCUAAGGACUUGACUUAUAUAUAAUUUCAUUUCCUUAACAAAUUGUUACGUGCAGCGCAAAAGGAAAUCACGUAAAGGUGGAUCUCAUUCAACACUUUCUCUUCUGAGGAGAGAGCUGCGAGAAGGAAACCUACAGUCCCUCUUUGGGAGUUCUUCUUGCAUAGUGUCUUCAUCCAAUUCAGCAGCUGAUCCUUUGUUGUCUUCAUUUAUUUUGCCCAUGGUUGAUGAUUAUGUUAGUGUUCACCCUCACUUUUCUAGCGAAACAAGCACAACUAAGAAAAGUUCAGAUGUGAAUAAGUCGGAAAGGUAAGUUGCGGUGUGUUAAAAUCUGAUUGUUACUUUUGUACCCUUAUUGCUUGAGGCAGGUGUUUUGAAUGCGUGUGGUCUUUUAUCUGGUUAUUCACUUGCAAUCCUAGAUAACCUAAUGGAUCUUGUCAUAGCCUUCUUGUUUGGUAUGGAGUAUAGACGUCUCAAAAAGUUCAGCCCUAAGUGAAAAGGGCAUGUAAAUGUGCUUCUGUUUGUCUUUUUGUUUUUCACUGAGAAGCCAUCUUUUAAGCCAUUCUUUGAGAUGAUGGGGCUAAUUCAACAUUUUACUCUUAUUAGCAUACAAUGACUUUAUUUUAUACAAUAUCAUAUACAAAUGCCUAUAUUCAUUUUGCCACCCUAGAAAUAGAACAUGUUUUGGACUAUAUCAUGCACUUGGGGAUUCAACCCCAAAACUUAUAUUUUGUUAAAGCAAAACUAAGCAGAGUGAUAUCUGUGCUCCUGGUCCAGACUAAUGACUUCCUAUCUAUAUCUUUAGUCAGGGACCCAUGUCUGUGCAUGGCUUUAUCUGCUGACAUUUUUUUUCUCUUUUAAAGUUUCACAAAUUGGUUUAUGCAGUAAAAUAGUUAGGUUAAGCUAUAUAAGUCUAGGUUAGCAUCAAGUGUCCAGCUUCCUUACCAUAUACACAAAUAUGUAGUAUUUAUGAAUUAGACUUAGUAAUUUGGUGGGGAUGAGACUUGAUGCCAGUCUUUGAGAAAAGGAAUGAGACUCUUUUGGCGCAUCUCAGUUUUUGUUUAUUUAUUUAGAGAGUUUGCACCAUCUUUUUUGCAUUACAACCUUAUUCAAAAGAAACCAUUGAUGACUAGCAUUGAAUUUUACUUCCGGGACAAACUUCUGCAUGGGGAUUUCAUGUUUGUCCUACCUAUUUGUUUUAUUUCUAUAGUUUUGCAACAAUGUCUUUGAAAGAUAUGAUAUGAUGCAUUCUGAUAUUAGGCUUUGAUGACAGAAAUGUCCAGUCAUCUCCUCUUUCAGUCAAGGAUCAGAAAGAGAAGGCAAAAAGAUGUGAGUUUGUCAAAGGGCUGCUGUUGUCCACGAUUCUUGAUGACAUUUGAUGAAGAGCAUUCUGCCCUCCUUUUGGUCACUGCAAUUGUGGACCUUAAUCCCUCAUGGACAUUGGGUUCAUGGCGAAGAGCCCUACAACCUGUGGUUGUUACGCUGUUUGUAGUGAAUAUGUUGAUGUAUUAAGCAAAAUGUUGAAAUAAGGUGUAGGAAUGACUGUAAUUUUAGUUUUUAUGCCUGAUCAUGAUUUCCGCUUCACCUUUUAUUUCAGUUUAUGAUAAUAUCAAAAAGAAGAAAAAUGAUUUAAUGAGUGCGCUGAGUUGUUCUAGCUUGCAAGAAACAUGUUGGUUAAUCUAAUCUAGUGACAAAUGCUCUCGUCAUUACCAUGCUGUUGUUGGCCAUUAUCAUUCAAAGACAAAAAAGGUAGCAUAAAACAGCUAUCAUCCCAAUGAUAAAUACGAUUGAUUAAUUGUACUGUAAUAAUUUUAUUACAUCUAAUAUUAAUUUGUGUGACAUUAUUUGCAAGAAUGGUGUUGUUUACAAGUUUUCUUGAGUUAGAAGGAAAUAGUUAAUCACAAACAUCUAACCUUUUAUGUCCGAACAACAAAUGCAAUUGGUUAACUCUGUGUGGAAAUAGUCCAUCAGAGUUGUACUCUUCCCAUGCCUUUGAACCUAAGUGGUUAAUGCCCGUAGCAUUACUGUCAUACUUUAUAGCACAAAUAAUCAAGAGGACAAGACAUUCACACUUUCUUUCUUCAUAGGAAGAGGCAAGGAUGAGACAGCAGGAAGAAUAACAUAAGCAUUACAUGCAAUCAGACUAGAAAAUUUUUGCAAUCUAUUAUGGUGAUCAAAUGAGAAUACUGCACUUUUUGUGCUCAAUGUCAGUGAAUUUUAAGUCUAAAUCAACUUAAAAAAUGUUUCGUUUUUUUUUUUUUCUAAAAAAAUUUGUUUCUAACUCCUAACCAAAAUGCAGAAAGAUACAUUCACUGCAUCAAAGAUCUAAAGACCUAAACUUAACCACUGCCGGGAUCUUGCAUCCAUGAUCCUCUUCACUACAUCUUUUACAAAAGAAUCGAAACAAGUUAAGCAACAACCUUUCAUUAAGCUCGCCUGCCCAGCUGCUACUCUUUCAAUGUGUGUACAAUUUGAUGGAGGCACAACGUGAACCUCGCUCCUCCUGUGCUCAAGCCCACAUGCAGCCAAUAAGGUGUGCAUGGAACUUGUUGCUACGUCCUUGCAAGUACCAUUGUCUGCAUAUUAUAUAAAUAUAUAUAAUUAGUUUAGAUAUGUUCCAAAAACACAAGACAGAACUAAUCACUACAACAUAUUGUUUACAAACAAUAAUGUGAUUAAAAAACAAAACUGAAACACAGACUUAACAUGGUAAUCAUUUAUGUAUAGAAGUUGUGCCUUUUAGAAAUGUGAAAACUGCAGACUAAAAAGUCUAAACGUCAAAAUAUCCCUUACACAGAGUUGAUUAAAGACAGGGCUUUACUCACCAAAAUCAUUAUUGUUGGACAAGGCUUUCAAAUGGCUUCUAACCAUUGUUUGCAAUUGUUCCUUCACCAUCAAAACAUUACCCUCAUCUAUAACAGAAAAAGGCAAGCCACAACCAUCAGGCCCAAUGUUUGAUCCAUUGCUGCACUGACAGAGUUGCUCAUUUGAACCGAUACCAACAAGUUCAGGCCAUAACGUCAAAUUGACAGAUGUACUGAAGGUUGUUGCGGUUGAAGCCUGAACUGCUUGCCUUCUCAAAUGACCCAACCUUGAAGAAAAGAAAUCCCUACUUUGCAGUGACGAAGAGGGAUCAUCCUGUAACCUCUCCUCAAAGACUGUUUGAUAUGAAGUUGCCAUAUCUUGUGUCCUAGCUCGUUGAACAGUUGUUUCCCUACUCUGAUCAAUGUAAGAAUUUACAAAAUCAAUGCCCAUAUUGCCAGUUGAUAUCCCAUUAGUCCUACCAGCCAUAAGAUUCAUCCUAUUAACAGAACGGAGAUUCUGAAUCUGGCGGUGUAACCAUCGUCUUCCCGUUAGAGUUGGAACGCCCACUCCAGAUGCUGGAGAAGCAGCUGGAAUAUCUACAACAGGAAAUCUAGGAGAUGAAAGACCCACAAAACCGGGAGUUAAUGGUGUAUGAGGUGAAGGCACUACAAUGGAGUCUAAACUUUCUCCUACAUUUACGCUGGGUGACAAUCUAUUGUACAAAUUGUUUAUUGCCCUUGGAUCUGGCAAAGAAUCUUGAACUUGGGAACUAGAGGACCCAAGAGCAACGGGCCUGCAACCAUCACAGUACCAAUUACCUUCAGGUACUUCCUGCCUGAGACCAACACAAUAGGUGUGUGCUGAUGAAUCACAAAGAUCACACAGUAACAUGAGUUCAUCAUCCCCACCUUGGUGGCAUUCAGAACAAAUUACAUUCGCAUACGGAUCAAGAUAGCUUCUGAGUUCUUCCUCAGAUGGUUGGUAGACCUGCAUACAACAGACAUGCCCAUUUCAAACCACAGAUACAAAAUAAAGCAAGGAAAAUGAAAACCAUUAAACAUAAAAUAUUAUGAGGAUAAAUAUAACAAACCUGAUCACGCUUGGGGACUUGGAUCACCACAUCUCUCAAAUCAACUCCUGCUGUUGAUCUUGCAGGCUUACUGAUUGUUUCAAACCUUUGCUUGCACAAUGGGCAACGAGAUUCCACUUUUGACCACUCCAUAAUGCAGGUGAAACAAAAAUAAUGACUGCAACAGUUUAGUGUGCCCCUCAAUCUUCGCUUAUCUUCCUCAGAGAGACAAAUACCACAAACCGGCUUUAUUAGUUCAGCAUUUGUUUCCUCUACCUUCUCCUUACCCUUUCUUCCUGGAGGUUUCUUAUGCUGACCUAACUCCUCAACCUCUUGAAUUCUCUUUGAGGUUGAUGAACUCCUCAACCUAGUUUUUAAACUUCCACACAAUUGGUUGGCUUCUUUCACUUGCUCUCUCUCUUCCUCUGAGAUGGUAUACUCAUAAUCAGAAGAUCCAAAUAACACAAAAUCUGAAUCUGAUGGUACAACAUAUGCCUUCUUUCUCCGUCCUUUAUUUGUUCUGCUCUUUUUUCUCACAAUUGGAGUGUUGUCUAUAAAAUCACAAUCAUCAUCAUCUUCUUCAACUCUCCUUUUCCUUUUCAAUCUGCGUUUCUUCCUUCCUCCUUUUCUCAAAGGCUUCUUAGAAACUGCAGUCUCCUUCCUCCUUUUCCUAUGUUUAGAAGGACCCCUUUUCCACAAACCUUGCUUACCAACUUUCAUGUCGAUUUUCUUCUUUUUCAUUGUCAAUUCCUCUUCCUCAUCCAAACAAUCUUCUUCAUCCAAAGUGAAUUCCUCAUCAUCAUCAUCAUCAUCUUCUUCCUCGACCUCCUCCUCCUCCUCAUCAUCAUCAUCAUCAUAAUCCUCAUCUUCCUCUUCUUCAUCUGAUACACUUUUUCGCUUUCGCAAUUUUCUAUCCGCAGUCUUCCUCUCCCCUGCUGAAGACAUCCGUUUAGCUUUUGACCUAACAACCUUUCUCAGCUCUUUCUCUUCCUUGUCCUCUUCCUCAUCAUCGAAAAAACUCCCAAAACCCUCUUCCGGUGGACAGUCAUCUGAGGAAGAACUAUAAUCUUCCGCAUCAUCCCCAGAUUCUUCAUUUCCCUCCUCUGAAACUACAUAAUCUUCAUCAGAAUCAUCCGAAGACUCAUCUUUGGAUCUAACCCUUUUCUUAGAAUUGCUUCUACGACCAACCUUCCCUCCCCUUACCAUCUGUUCUUCCACCAAAAAACAAAAAGAAAACACCCGACCAUUAAUCCCUAUUCAACCAAUAAAUACCAAUCUUCUUUGAUUAAAAAAAAAGAACCAUUAUCAAAUCAAAAUAAAUUCAAAGAUUCUACAAUUCAUUUGUUUCUUCCUUUGGCUUUACUCAAAUGGGGUAGGCAAAUUAAACACAAAUCCUUUAAGGAAAAAAAACUACCAUUUCCACCUAUUAUUUAUCAUCACCGAUCUGUAUUACCAUACAAAACUGAAGAAAACGAAGAAAACCCAGAUUAUAAAAACAAACAUACUAAAGUUUACGUCGACAAAAUUUACCAAAUUUUACGAAAAACCAGAACCAAAAAAAUUACCGUUAGCUUUUUCAAAGUUUAAAUUUUUUUCAGAAAAAGCACAGGAUUUUUCCCAUUCAAAUCAGGAUCCGUUGAGCAUAAAAUAAAAGAAAAUUCAACAAAUUUAUCAAAUUCAAAGCAUCCAUAAACAUCUAAACACCCCUGUUUUUCAUCAAAACUAACCAUAAAAAAAAAAAAAAAGCUUUCAAAUAUCAUAACAUUAAAACAAGAGAGAGAACCUAGAGAGAGAAAAUUAUUACCUGGGAGGAGGACUACAGAACUGAAAAACAAAGGAAAAAAUAUGCUUUUUUCCCCUUCCUUUUGUUUGUUUUAGCAAUGUCUGAUAAUCGUUUUCGGCUGUAGCGUUUUCUUUGUUGUUCAUAGAUAAACAGAGUAAUUUUUGUUUUUACGUGCUAUUUUUUUUUUACAUUUUUUGUAUUAAAAUUAAAUGGAAAUAUGAACGUUAAUAAAUAAUUAUGGCCUCCGCAACUUCGCGACCUCGUCGCGAGGUUAGUACGAAAGUACGGAAAUACCCUUGAUCUUUGUGGAUCAGUUUAACUAUAAUUUUUGACUGGGCUUUGAUUCAGUACUUUACGCCGUAGCGACAUCUGAUGGAGACCCAAAUCGGGACAGUUAUGAUGCCUAAACAAAUCCAGUUACUCGAAUUUCAUCCGUUCGAUAUAGAAUCAAAAUUUUCGAAUUAUUAAUAGAAUAUAAAUAUUUAAAUAUUUAUAUUUAAAAAGUUAAGUCUAAUUAAAUAUUUAUUUUUAACAUAUAAAUAAAUAAAUGAUAAGAUAAAUAUUUAAUAUUUAUAAUUUUAUCGAAUUUAACUUAAAUAAUUUAAAUAAAAAUAAAUCAAUUAAAUUUUUUAGUUUAAUUAUAGAUUAAACUCAUUAAUCACACAACUAUUUUUUUUUGUUUUUACAAAAUAUGAAAUUAAAAUUAAUAACAAUUAUAAUAAUGUUCAUGAAAAUACUUCAUUGAAUUAUUAAAAUCAUUUUUUAUUAUAAAAUUAUCAUCGUAUUACAAUUUAUCUAUCUUAUUAUCUAAUGAUUAAUAAGUUAUAAUAUAACAUGGCAAACUUAUAUUUAUUAUAAUACCUUUACAUAUAUUAAAAUCCCAACAUAUUCUUUCACUUUUAUACAUGGGACAAGUUUAAAAGGUUUAUUAUAGACAUAUUAGUGGGAGAUUAGUUUUUAUUGUGCCUUUUUUUUUUUUAAGAUGUCAAAGAAAGAGAACUAUUUUGCAAUUAUUUUAAUUCAUGCAAUGAAUAAAAACAUUAUAACUUUCAUUAAUUUAUAUUUUUUAAAAUGGUAAAAUUAUUGUUUUAUUUGAAGUCAAUGAGAUGUUAUGACAUUGAUAGAUGAGUUAGGAUUGAGGAAUACCAAAUUAUGGAAACAUUUCUCAAAAUGGAAAUCUUUGUUUUCCAUUUCUAUAUUUUUCUAUUUAGCAAUAAUUGGUCUAUGUUGAGGUCAUUGCCUAAUGAGAACAAGAAAAAAAUCGAAACAAAUAUAAACGUUGAAAAUAUGUUAAAAAAUAUAUAUAUAUAUAUUGAGUUAAUUACACUUUAAAUUUUGUGUUUUUUUUUUUUAAUAAAGAAUUGGAAUUUAGAAAUGGAGGAAAAACUUAAAUAAAGUUAUUGAGGUAAAUUUUGUGAAAAUUUAUACUAAAAUUAAUUAAAUUAAAUAUAAAAAUAAAAAUAAAAAAAGAUAGAUUGAAAUGUCUUAUUAUAUAGAUUAAUCGUGUGAAAUUUUAAAAAAAUUAAUAAUCUUUUAUAUAUUUUUAUAUUGAUAUUUUUAAUAAAAAUUUUGAUAAAAUAUUUUAUAAUUAAAUACGUUUCAAUCAAAUUUGAAUUAUAAACAACAUUUUUGAUAAAGUUGUUUACAUAUUAUUGAUUUUUACAUUAAAUCUUAACAAUAUAUCAAUUUAGAUUUUUCGUUAAAAUUUUUAUUAAAUUAUUUAUUUUAAAAACUUUCACUUAAAAAUUUUAAUAUAAGUUUUAUCUUGUUAAAUGUUAUCUUUUAAAAAUAUAUAUAAAUCAAUUAAAUUAAAUUCUAAAUUUUAAAUAAUUUAUCUUUUACAAAAAUCAUAAUUGAACCAAUUAAUAGGACACAUGUGAUAUUAGAUUACAAAAUGAAAAAAAAAAAAUUCUCCAUCAUUUUAUAAAUCUCAUGUUACUCAUCUCAAAAUUAAAAAAUUUAAGACAUAUAAAAUGAAAUCUUAAACUUUAAAGGUGUUUCUUUCAAGACAAAAUAAAAUAGGUAAGUAACUAUGAUUUUCUUUUUAAAUGAACUUCAGUUUUGGAGUUAUAAAAGGAUAAUAAUUCUCAUAAUUAUGCUAUAUGAUCAAAUGAAAUUAUUAGAAAUUUUUUAUAAAAUUCUAAGUUAGUAAAACCAGCAAAUAAUUGCUCGCCCAUCCUGUAGGAAAAAGGAUGGUUACACAAAUAUAAAAAUGGAAAAAAUAAUAAUAUUUAAUUUUAUGAGGACAACUGGGAGAAGGAUUAAGUAAUAUUUAAUUACUACAAAGUAAAUCAUAAUUUGACAUUUUUUAAGCUUAGUCAGACAGUGUAAAAUUACCGGAGUAACCUUUUACUUGGCUAAACGAUGGAGGAGCGCCGUUGACCGAAGCAAUGGUAGGGUGCGGUGAGCUAUAGGUGAUUAUUGAUGAAACACACGUGUACGGUGGAUAAUAUGGUAGAUAGAUCGGUGGAUGUGUCAGCACCGUCUGCCGCUUGAUCUUGCUGUAUGCAUCCACUUGAUUAGCACGUGAUCGAAAGAAGUGAUAUUGCCACGGCAUAAUUGUAGCUUCCAGGUUUGAUGUAUUUACAAGUUAUCAAGAGACCUUUUUCUUUUAUGCCUUUUCGUUUUGACCUUUCCAGUCGUUUUCACCCAAUGAUACAACUGAUCUUAGAAUUACUGACAGCAAAUUUUUUAUAAAAAAAAUAUGUAAAAGCAGGAAGGAAAAAGGGGUGGAUGACUUUAGCAAGAAAAGAAUGUGAUAAAUCUUAUAAGUAGGGCUCUUUUGCAUGGUCAAUUUCAGCAUAUGCCCUUAUCUUUCAGGGUAUAAAUAAUAUUUAUAAAUUAUUUAAAUUUUAUUAAGAUUAAAUUUGAUAUCAAAUUGAGAUAAAGUAAUUUAAUUUAUCAAAUUAGUUGAGUUUAAAUAUAUUAAUGUUUGAUUCAAGUAGAUUAUUAAUUUAAUUAAAUUUUUAAAUGUUAAAUUAUUUUUAUUUUUUAAUUAAAAAUUUAUUAUUUUAUUUAUAUAUAUUAAUUUAAAAUUAAAUUUAAAUUCAAAUACAUAAUUAAGUUUGAAAUUAAAUAUGAAAAUCGAAUUUAUUUUUAUUAAAUGAACCUAAUCAAAUAAAUUUAAAUAAUUUAAUUUUUAUCUCAGGUCAAAUUUGAAUUUAAAAACUAUAAUUCAAUCAAAUUUAAAUUAAAUUUUAAAUAAUAAAUUUAAAAUUAAAUUCAACCUCAAACUAUUCUAUAUGUCAAUUUAAUUCGAUAACACCCUGAGUCAGAUUCCCUAAAAAUCUGCUUUUUCAAUGGGCUGAGAUUGUUAAAAGCCGAGCCUUUGCUUGAGAAGAUGUCUUCUGCAGUAUAUUUUGUGCCUUAAUGUUCCUUACUUCCUUUUCAUAGUUUUUCUAUUCACUUCUGAAAUGAUGCAAAGGUAUGCCAAAGACUCCUGCAGAUGGAAAGAGUAAAAGAGGAAUUCAUUUAUUUAUCAGAAUUCAGAAAAACUGUCUUCCAACUCUACAUAAAAAGCUUCUAAAUUAAACCUGGUCCUGAGUUUUAGGCUUGUACCCUAUGAUUACCUCAAAAUUAAAAUGAUAAUAUAUAGUUAAUAACCGGCUGAAAGCUGCCCUUUUAUCCAGUUUAUAGUUGCAGGCUGGUAGCCUGUGAAAUACAUUAGGAUUCUUUCUUUCCCUUUCCAUCUUUUCUAGUUUAAAAUGUACAGAUUCAAUCCAUACAAAUGCACUAAUAUUGUUGUCCAAUUCAGCGUCUUGGAGUGUUAAUGACAUCCAUAUGCUUCCUGGUUUCUCAUCAGACCCAAAAAUUUAGGGACCAUUUCUAGUUUAUGACAAUGUGAGGGAACUGAUAAUGAUUAGGAGGAGGGGUCAAUGCUAGUGAUUAUCAACUUCAUAAAAUAUAACCCUUUGCCCUAAAAGAAGAACAUUGUCUACUUGACUUUAUAUUUCCUUCAAACAGAUUCAGUGUAAUGUUAAAAGGGAGCUGGACAAAACAAUUUGACAAGUCAUUUGGCAAAAAUAAAGAUUUGAGCUCUCAUUCUCCUUUUGGCUAGGAAGACUAGCUAAAUCAGCCAUAUACAUAUAGAUUCUAUAAAGUAGAAAAGUAAUGACAAAUGAACAGUCCAUGUCAAGAAAUGGUUUGGCUGUCACUUAAACACAUGGGCUGCAUACAAAUGAUCAACCAAGAUGAUGUUGACUUUUUAUUCUCUUUUGUGUGCCAACCAAACGCUGAGUUUUCCUUUCCUAAAGGCUUUAAAGAGACCAAAAGGGUGGACUUUGUUCCAAGUUGGACCUUAAUUUGGUUUGAUUAGGUCUUUGGUAACUAAACUUGGCUCACACUUUAGAAAAUCCAUCCAAAACUUUGGACAGUCAUUAUUCAAAACUGGGACAGAAUUAAAGGACAUCUAAAUUACUAACUUAAUUCAUCAUUAAAAUUUCAGUGAGUCUGUUCAUCAAUCAGCAUUCAUAUCCAAUCAUUUUGUUUACCCUUUCUAUACAAAUACCAUCCAAUCAUUUUGCUCAAAGCCCACGGAAGACGUCAAUGCUCAAUCCUCGUAAAUUGAAAUCCUUUUUCAAUGUCUUAAAGCUAGCCAAAGGUGACCAAUUAACCAUGAAUUAUCCACGUGGUGUCGGAGACUUGUCCUAAUCAAAGAUCACUUUGUUGUAGGGUUAUCAAUAUUUUUUAUAAUUUGUAUAUUUAUAUUACAUAAAAUAUUAAUAAUUUAUAUAUUUAUAUUAUAUUUUAUAUAAAAAUUAUAUGUUAUGUUUUAUUUUAAUAAAAAUAUAAAAUAUAAAAUUUUAAUUUUAUUAAAUUUAUUUAUAAUUUUUAAUAAAAUUUUAAAUUAUAUUAUUUUUAUAUUUUUUAUUCGUAUUAUUUAUAUAUCAUAUCAUAUUUUAAAUUAUUAAUCUAAUUUUCGGUGUUGCCAUGCCAUUCAAUAUUUAGACACCUAAGUUCCAUUCAAGUUCCAGGGCAAGAAUUUCUGCAGCUUUAGAGACAGGCAUUCUUGAUUUGGUAAGAGUGCCCCUAGAGUUCAAUUGAACUUUUUCCCCCAGAAAAUGAAAGCUUGUCUAGGAUGACAAUUCAAAGUCCAUAACAGGACAAGCUGCAUGCAUUGACGAUGAUAAGUAUUGUCAUCACUUUUCAAAGUUUAUUUGGAAACAAGAUAUAUUGAGGGCUUUGAAUUAGGCCAAUAUUUUUUAUAGGCAUGAUUGAGCUGCAUGGUUCUUGAUUGUGAUAGGCCAAUAUUUUUAUUAGUAAAGCUUAUUUCUUUCUAGUCAAAAAAUAUUUUAUAAAUGUCAUAUUAUAUGCAUUAAACUUUUUUCUCAUAGUUGUUGAAAGAGCAAAACGUUCUAUAGUUUGCAUGUGCAAGUAUAACCCUAGUCUAGAGUCUUUGAAUUUCAAGCUUUUCCUAAAUAAUAAUAAUAAAAAAAUCCUUUGGGUUAUUUCUUUUUUUUUUUUAUUGCUGAAGGAAAAUUUUUUUCAAAUUUUUGCGUUAAAUGCUCAAUUUAAGAUUUGAUUUUAGGUCAAAAUUCUUUAUAUGAGCAAAUUCUAAAAUGUUUAGUUUUGAUUUAAGCAAAAUUAAAGAUUGAUGUAAAUACUGAAUUUCAAAUACAGCAUUUGUCAAACUUUUGCUUUAAGUUGAGUAAUGUCUUUGCCUCUUUUAUGUGGGCCAAUGAAGCCACCUUUUUCAAGUUUUGAGAUUGGGCUGGAAGCCUUAUGCCUUUAACCAAACAAGCCGGCAUGGUACUUUGGGGCCUUCAAUUAGGGCCCUUUUAGACCUAUCUUAAGCCCUUCGAGGGCCCUUUUAGAUCAAAUCGAUGCGUAAAUUUGGUUCGGAUCCGAACCAUGUGUUAAAUGUUCGUAACAGAUUUUUUUUUUUUUUUGGCUAAAUCUAAUAAUUCGCAUAUUUAUGACACAUAAAUUAUUGAAAAUUUAUAUAUUCACAUAAUGUUUUAUAUAAAAAUUAAAUGUUAUAAUUUAUGAUGACAUGAAAAUAUGAAAUGUAUUUUUUUUAUUUUGUUAAAUUUAUUUAUGAUUUUUGUUAAAAUUUUAAGUUGUUUUAUUUUUAUAUAACUGUAUUUUUUUAUAUCGUUUUCGUAUCAUAUUUAAAAUUAUCAGGUCGAUUGUAUCUUUGAGAAUAUAAUUAUAUUUCAAUUUUCUUCUAAUUUUUUAUUUUCAAUCAAAAUAAUAUAAAUCCGAAAUCAUUUCAUUUUUCUUUGAUCCAAAAUGAUAUAAAACUCAAAUUCAAUUUAGUUUAUCUAUUUGCCACUUCUAGAUAUGAUUGUUAAGUAGAUAAUAACAUUAUUUUAGCAAAUGGGUUGCAUGGAUGGGUCAAAAAAUCACAAAAAAAAAAAAAAAAACCCUACAUAAUGUGGGUUCUUGUUAACGAGUUCUUAUCAUGUUUCAAAGAAUCUAAGAAAAACAAUUUCAACUUUAAAGUAUUUGUUAUAUGAAAGAUCAAGUGAAAAUUAUAAGGGGGGUAAUAAUCAUAUAAGCUUUUCAAGAUUUUGUUUGUGUGUGUUUGAUGUUUGAGUUUCUCUAAUCAUGAUUACAUGUUUUGUUUUUACACAUAAGCAAAGGGACAGCCUAUCUUUUAGGUAAUUAAACUUCCAUAAUUAUAUACGUUUAAUUAUAAAUGCUCACAACUUAUAGUUCAAUUACAAAUUAUAAUGCCAUUUUUAUGGACAAGUCUUUGGUUUAAAAUAGGAUAGCUAUGAUGGAUCUCUUAUAUAUUUAUGUCAAAAUUUGAACUUUUUAAUUGAUUAUAUAAUUAUAUUUAAAUAUGUUAAUUUAAAAUAUGAUAUGAUAAUAUAAUAAAAAAUUGAUACGAACAAAAAAUAUAAACGUGACAUUAUUUAAAAUUAAAAAAAAUCAUAAUUGAAUUCAAUAAAAUAAAAAAAAAUAUUUUAUAUUUUCGUAUCGACAAUAAUAAUAACACGUAAUAUUUAUAUAAAAUACAAUAAAAAAAUAUGAAUUGUUAAUACUUUACAUAAUAUAAUAUAUGAAUUAUUAGGUCUAAUUAUAUUGGUGGGUGAAUUUAAUUGGUAACUGGUAAAUCACUUUGAUUUAAUUCUUAUCACAUUUUGCAAAAUAGUUCUUCAGUUUUUUUUUCUUCUUAAAAAUUGCAUAAUUUUAGUGAAAAAAAAAAAAAACUUCUCUAUUUCUCACUAUAUUCUUGAACAUAAGAUCAACUUAACAUGAAAUCAACAUUUUAGGUAUUGCAUCAAAUAAAUUGCUGCCUCGAACAAUUUUGAAGGGUUCAUUUGAUAUGCCACUAUUCUCAUGCCAUAAUCAAAAUAUUAGUCCAUAAAUAUAAAAUCAAUAAAAUUUCCCUAUUAUAUAAAGUUUCAAGAGAAUUAUGAAUAUCAUGAUUAUUUUAUAAUUAUUUACAGUAAUUUAAAUACUAUAAGCAUUUUUUUUUACUCUAAAAUAUUGUCUCUUUGAUUUUUUUUUUCUCAUAUCAACAAAUAAUGUUACUCUACUAUUCAAUGCCAAAUAAUAUAUUUUACAAAUCCUUUUUACCAAAAUUUAAUAAAUGAUGAACUGCAAAAUUGAUUAAAUUUGAAAUUAUUUAAGAAUAUUCAAUCAUAAAUAUUAUUUUAAUCACAAUUACUUAUGUUUUUACUCCUUUUUUUUUUUAAAUUCAAAGACACCUUCAAAUUUUUAGUAUAUACUUAAUUAUUUCUUGAUAAAUAAUUUUUUAUGAUAUUAGAAUUUUUUGACCAAAAAAAUUAAAUAAUUUUUAAUAAACUAAAAAUAAAUAAAUAAAAAAUGUUUAAAAUUAGUCCAUCAUUUUCUCACUCGGAAAAAUAUAAACGGUGCAGGCGCGGCUCUCUCGUAACCGGGAGGCUCGGAACCAGGUUCGGUGUACAGCGUUUCUCUUCAAUAUUAGAGAGAAACUGUGGGAAAAACAGAGACACAGAGAGAAAACAGAGAGAAAGUGAGAGAAAAUCAUUUGAACCUUCCAAAAUUUCUCUCUCUGUGUUUCUCCACAGAGAUAUUCAAUACCAAUACUAAAAAAAGUUAGAAAUAAAAACAAGAAUUUUUUGUCUCUGUUUUUAUUCUCCUCUGUUUUUUGACAGAGCUUUUUUAUUAUAAGAAAAGAAAAAGAUUCAAAUUCUUUUUUGGUUUUUCAUAAUUUGGGUUUUGAAGAUAAAUGUAAAGGAAUUGAAAAUUUAAUUUGGGUCUGUAAAAUCUGUAGAUUUUUGUAUUCAACAGCUGGUUUUGUUACAAAAUGGCAACAGAGUCGAUUUUACAAGUCUCUGUAAUAUCAGCUUUGGAAGAAGUUCUUCAGCAGCAAGAAACUCAAAAAGACGACAUUUAUUUGGCUUCGGGGAAAUCCGAUGAGUCUUGUAAUGAUAUAACUUUUUUUCCAGCUCUGUUUUUGAUUUGUUAUCGGAUUGAAUUGAAUGAUCAAUGGCUUUUUAUUAUUUGUCUUAAUAUUGAUCAAUCUUAAGCUUUGUUGUAAUACAUUCUUGUGUUUUCUAUUAUGAUCAUUAGUUUUAAUCAAUUUCAAGCUUCAGAUUUUAUGAAGUUUCUGUUAAGAGAUUGAAAUUGAUCUUACUUUUACCAAGUUUCAUGAAUUUUACAAUAAUGCUUAAGAUUUGUUGUUGCAUUUUGCAGAAAUGAUCAUAAAAUCUGCAGCUUUAUGCCAAUUUUGCUAAUAAAAAAAGCACAUAUUCCUAAUCUCCAAACAAAUUGGAAAUGCAUUUUGUUGAAACUUCCUUUUCUUGGUUGAUUCUGUGAGCUUGCUUUGUGCUGAAAGAAAGCAAACAAACAGAAACAAUAAUACAUAGAUUUAAAGAAUCCUCACUCGUUUAUAUUUUUGUAGCUUUGAGAAGAUAUGAAGCUGCUAGGUGGCUGAGAAAAACAGUUGGUGUUGUUGGGGGUAAAGAUUUGCCAGCUGAGCCUUCUGAAGAAGAAUUCAGGCUCGGGUUGCGGAGUGGCAUUAUCCUUUGCAAUGUUCUUAACAAGGUUCAACCUGGAGCUGUGCCAAAGGUAUGUUUCAGCAACUAUAUCUGAUGCCACUAAAUUUGCUUGAUACAUUGUCCGACCUAAGGUCAAUAUCUUAUUUGAAUUUUAGGUAGUAGAAGGAGAUUGUGAUUUUGUUAUUAUUCCUGAUGGGGCUGCUCUAUCAGCAUACCAAUACUUUGAAAACGUGCGAAACUUCCUUGUAGCUGUAGAGGAAAUGGGGAUUCGAGCUUUUGAAGCCUCCGAUUUGGAACAGGUUAGUAUUGAAAUUUUAGAUUAAAUGGUAAGGAAGCCAUUUAUGAUUUAUCUUCUAGUCUAAAUGAAUGUGACUUUGAAAUUUUCUUUUUCCAGGGUGGGAAAUCUUCAAGGAUUGUGGACUGUGUUUUAGCAUUAAAGUCUUAUAGUGAAUGGAAACAAAGUGGUGGGAUUGAUUCAUGGAAAUAUUUUGCAAAUUCUUUCGGGACAGGGAAACCUUUCGUACGAAAAAAUAGUGAACCAUUUAUGAAUUCCAUUUCAAGGACAGUGUCAGUGGGUGAGAAGUCUGUAGAUAGCUUGUGUAGUGAGCAGUCAGACCUCAGUGAAGCAGUCAGUGAGCUUUUUUUGCUUUGUUUUUUCAUGUUCACUCUAUUUAUUUUAUUAGGAUUUGAAUGAGAAACAUCUAAUAGCUCAUUUUCAUUCUUAUCCAAAGGGUUCCGUCCGUUCUUUGCAAAUGCUAGUUCGUGCAGCUCUGUCAGAUAAGAAGCAAGAAGAAAUUCCAACGGUAAGGUCCUUCUGCUUAAUUGGUCGGGAUGGUAUAAGAGGAUUAGAGAAGUAUCAAGUUAUUCAAGAAGCUUAUUUGCUACUAAAUAGGCAAAGCCUUUUCCUAUAUAGGAUUAGAAUGGGAUAGUAAUCAACAAAAUGUCUAUCUUACAAGGGAAAAAGUGUUGCUGUGAACUUUCAUUUGCCAACUUAAUUAUUCUUUGCUUCAAUCCAUCUUUUCAAUAGUUUUCUGAGGGAAAACCAUUAACAGAUUGUAGAAUCUAUGUUCAAUAAAGUCUCAGAGGAGUUCAGCGUCGAUUGGCAAGCCAAAAUGAACAGGGGAGCAGCUUUAAUUCUUCCAAAUUGUCAAUUCUUUAUCCCCAAAUGUCAAAGAAUGUCAAUGAAUAAAUUUACUUGCACUCUUUUAUGCAAGUAUUAUUAGUGUUAAUGGCUGUGUGAAACAUGUAUUAAUGGCAUUAUCAGUCUUCUGAUCUCAGUACACCAUUUAUAUAUGGUAAUCUGACAGGUUAAAGCUACUGCAAAGAAAAAUGGAAGAAUCGGUCCCUGAUAAUUCUCUUUCACAAACUGAUUCAUGUGAUGACAAGGUGGGAAAAAUAUUUCUAAGCAGCUUUCAGUCAUUGCUUCAUGUGAUUAUCAUUAAAUACUUUCAUAUCACUUAAAAAAUAUAAUGAUGAAGGUUGAAGAGGAGACCCCCAGUUGAGGAAAUGAUUGAAGAUGAAUCAUCAACAGAUCAGCCAGAGAGACAGGAACUUUAUGAUGAGAAGUCCAUCCUGAUGAGGAAUCAAUACAACAUCUUUUGAAACAGCAGAGAUUGGUUGAACAACAACAACGAGAUAUUAUGGUAUUUGCUGUUAGCAUUUAUUCUAGUUCUAAAUUCUUAUUAUUCUACCAUAGGGAUGGAGUGCUUGAUGUAUUUGUACCUGUAGGAACUGAAGCAUUGUCUUCAUGCCACUAAAGCGGCUAUGCAAUCUUUGCAAAUGGCGUACCACGAAGAGGUUACCAAUCUAGGUGCAAACUUAAGCUUGAUUGCUUUAUGUGUUCUAAAAUGAAAAUAUAAUAUUUCUCAUUCUAGCUUUGUUUUUAAUAGGCAAACACUUGCAUAGUCUAGCUUCAGCUGCUUCGGGAUAUCAGAGAGUUCUUGAAGAAAACCGCAGGUUAUACAAUCAAGUGCAGGAGCUGAAAGGUAGAGUCUUAACAGUUUAAAAGUUUCAUGUAGUGAAUAUAUCAUAAUCAAAUCAAAUCCAAUUGUAUUUUUUGGUAAAUCAUGUUUUAGGGAAUAUAAGAGUAUACUGCCGAGUAAGGCCAUUCUUGAUGGGGAAUCAAAACAGUUGCGAGUUCUGUAGACCACAUGGAUAAAGAACUAUCACAAUUGUCACUCCUUCAAAUAUGGAAAAGAGGGACGGAAAUCAUUUACUUUUAACAAAAUAUUCAGUCCUUCUGUAACUCAAGGUUAGCGCUUACGGCAAAGCACUUCUCUCUAAUGAUUCUAUCCAUGUACUUUUUUCAGUUUGAUAGCCUUUCCUGUGCAUGAAUUCUCUUUCCCUGCAGCGAAGGUUUUCUCCGAUACCCAACUUUGAUUCGGUCUGUUCUUGAUGGUUUAUAAUGUUUGUAUAUUUGCUUACGGCCAAACAGGAUCAGGGAAAACUUAUACCAUGGUAAGAAAUGCAGCAUUUUGUCACCAACAUACUGUAGUCAGUCAAAUAAAGUUAUGCUAAUUCAUCUCAUCUAUGAAUCCAGACUGGGCCUAAGGAGCUUACCGAAGAAGAUUUAGGUGUAAACUACAGGGCAUUGACUGAUCUAUUUCUUCUCUAAACCAAAGGAAAGAAACCAUUUCCUAUAAAAUUCUGUGCAAAUGCUUGAAAUUUACAAUGAGCAAGUCAGGGGAUCUCCUUUCAACAACUGAUGGACUAAAUAAGAGAUAUCCUAUCUAUCAGACAUAUAUAUUUCUCCAAAAAUGUUUAUCUUUGUUAAUUGCGCUGCUCAUACGCAUUUUCAUGUUUUCUAACUCCUAAAUGGCAUUAGAAAUCCGUAACAGCUCUAAAAAUGGGAUUAAUGUCACCUGAUGCCAACCUUGUACGUGUAUCAUACAACAUUUGAUGUCAUAAAUCUUGAUGAACCUUGGGCAAAAAAAUCGUGCAGUUACUCCACAGCCAUGAAUGACCGGAGUAGUCGAUCUCACAGGUCAAGUCUAUGUUCUGGUUUUAGUUUCACAGAUUGAUUUCAUUUCUAGUUAUGGCCUCUAAAACAUGCUGUGCGGUCUUCCAUGGCAGCUGCUAUGACAGUUCAUGUUCAAGGAAAGGACCUCACUUCAGGAAACAUUCUCGUGGCUCUAUGCAUCUUGUUGACCUGGCAGGAAGUGAAAAGGGUAGAUAAAUCUGAAGGUGACUGGGGACAGGUUAAUUGAGGGCACAACACAUCAACAAAUCCUACUUUCUGCCUUAGGAGAUGUGAUCUCUUCUCUUGCUUCAAAAAAUUCACAUGUUCCCUAUAGAAACAGUAAACUUACUCAGUUUGCUCCAAGAUUCACUUGGUAAGAUUAUCUGAAACUCUCCAAUCUAAGAAGGUUUUAUUUUCUUUUCAUUAUCCACUGUAUUCUACCUUGUUGAUCAUGUUAUUGGUCUCAUCUGUCAGGAGGACAAGCCAAAACACUCAUGUUUGUUCACAUUGCUCCAGAGUAUGAAGCUCUUGGAGAAACAAUUAGUACUCUUAAAUUUGCAGAGAGGGUUGCCACAGUUGAACUUGGUGGUGCUAAAGUGAACAAAGAUAGUGAAGAAGUGAAAGAGCUUAAAGAACAGGUUUCUUCAUGUGCCAUUUGGUUCUUUUCUUCUGCAUUUUAACUUAGAGUGUUAGGGCUGCCUACUGCUGUCAAAUCUGUCUUACAGAUACUCAUUUAUUUUGUAAACAUCAUUUCACUUGUUUGCCUUUUUUAACUGUUUUCAGAUAGCUAGUCUUAAAGUAGCCUCAGCGAGAAAGGAAGGAGAGCCCGAGCACCUGCAACGUGCUCAAUCAGUAUCCUGUAUCCCAGAAAUAAAUAGUCCAAAGCUUGAAUCAUCUCCUCUUCCUAAAUGGCAGAGUUUCAGUGAUCUAUCUAGCACCCUUACCAACACUGAGGUAUAAUUUAAGUGUCAAAAUUGGUAGGAAUUUGUUUUCAAAGUGAUUUACUACAAUUUAUGAUAGGAUGUUGAUUUCAGAGUUAACAAACUUGACAACUUUUUAUCCAACUUAUUAAAGUGCUGUAAAGAUUAUAGUAAAUGCUGGUAAAAUCUUUAAAAAAAGUUGGUUAGCUUUUAGAUAAUAUUUUAAUAACAUGCUUCCUUGAAAUCCUUAAAACUGAUUUCACUGAUUAGUAGAAGAAAUCAUCUGUCAGAGAAGGAAAAAACAGUCAAUUUUCUGUUUAUGUAUCUACAAUGUUGGAACCAAUGAUAAGAUAAGCCUAACAUGAUAUUCUUGCCUGCUGCUUCAGAAUGACUCUUCAUCCACAUCUAGGAGGGAAAGCUUGGAAAUCCAAGAGAUGUUAGCAAAUCCAUUACUGUGGCCACCUCUUUGCAGUAAUGCUACAAGUGCUAAGGCGGAUGAUAGAGAUUCAGCAUCUGGUGGCUGGAUUGAUAAAGUCAUGGUGAACAAGCAUGACAACCUUAAAAAGGAUCAAAAUUUGCCAGCAAGUAGGGAAGUAAGCAAUGGACAAUCGCCUGACAAGUUCUAUAAGAGUUCUAUUCGCGGUCCUACGAAGAUAUUCCCAGAACAAAACUUGAAAAGAUUGACUACAAACAAAAAGGGCAACCAAGACUAUGAUCGGCAAGGAGUUCAGUUCGAAGUUGGCUCAACUGAUGAUUCUGAUCAUGAAGCUGCAACUAGUGAUUGUUCAGAGACAGACUCAGUUAGUCAAUCCAAUAUUCCUAAAAUUACCAAUGUUUCAAAUGCUUUGGAAUCUAAAUCAAAGAAACAGCAGCUCAGGAAAGCAAAGAACACAGAAUUUAGGUAAGCUGCUUUAUCAUUAAUAUUUAGAUAUGCACAUUUAUGUAAAACUUUUCAGUUUAUUUCUAGUACCUUAGGCCUUGAUUUUCAUUUUUUUGGUUUGCCACCAGGANNNNNNNNNNNNNNNNNNNNNNNNNNNNNNNNNNNNNNNNNNNNNNNNNNNNNNNNNNNNNNNNNNNNNNNNNNNNNNNNNNNNNNNNNNNNNNNNNNNNNNNNNNNNNNNNNNNNNNNNNNNNNNNNNNNNNNNNNNNNNNNNNNNNNNNNNNNNNNNNNNNNNNNNNNNNNNNNNNNNNNNNNNNNNNNNNNNNNNNNNNNNNNNNNNNNNNNNNNNNNNNNNNNNNNNNNNNNNNNNNNNNNNNNNNNNNNNNNNNNNNNNNNNNNNNNNNNNNNNNNNNNNNNNNNNNNNNNNNNNNNNNNNNNNNNNNNNNNNNNNNNNNNNNNNNNNNNNNNNNNNNNNNNNNNNNNNNNNNNNNNNNNNNNNNNNNNNNNNNNNNNNNNNNNNNNNNNNNNNNNNNNNNNNNNNNNNNNNNNNNNNNNNNNNNNNNNNNNNNNNNNNNNNNNNNNNNNNNNNNNNNNNNNNNNNNNNNNNNNNNNNNNNNNNNNNNNNNNNNNNNNNNNNNNNNNNNNNNNNNNNNNNNNNNNNNNNNNNNNNNNNNNNNNNNNNNNNNNNNNNNNNNNNNNNNNNNNNNNNNNNNNNNNNNNNNNNNNNNNNNNNNNNNNNNNNNNNNNNNNNNNNNNNNNNNNNNNNNNNNNNNNNNNNNNNNNNNNNNNNNNNNNNNNNNNNNNNNNNNNNNNNNNNNNNNNNNNNNNNNNNNNNNNNNNNNNNNNNNNNNNNNNNNNNNNNNNNNNNNNNNNNNNNNNNNNNNNNNNNNNNNNNNNNNNNNNNNNNNNNNNNNNNNNNNNNNNNNNNNNNNNNNNNNNNNNNNNNNNNNNNNNNNNNNNNNNNNNNNNNNNNNNNNNNNNNNNNNNNNNNNNNNNNNNNNNNNNNNNNNNNNNNNNNNNNNNNNNNNNNNNNNNNNNNNNNNNNNNNNNNNNNNNNNNNNNNNNNNNNNNNNNNNNNNNNNNNNNNNNNNNNNNNNNNNNNNNNNNNNNNNNNNNNNNNNNNNNNNNNNAAGUGGGGUUAAUCAAUGAAGGAGUAUUAAAUUUUGAUACCAGCCAACAAGGGACUCCAAAUGUCAAUGGAACCCUCUACCAAAUCAUACCAGACCAUCAAUAAAUGCUUUGUUGAUGGGCAAACAAGCUAUGUGAAAAGAAGAAUAAAGAGGUCAAAACUCCUAUGGCUAAGGUGUUCGAAGUAUUGGUCAAAGCUGACAUGUUGAAGCCAAUAGAACCUCAAAAUUACUCUGAAAUUAACUCAACUGAAACUUAUAAUUAUCAUAAGUGUCACCAAUUUCGUCAAGAGGUGCAAAAAUUGAUGGAUGAAGGUCGAAUAGAGUUUUACCAAGAGAGAGAAGAGUUGGUGAAAGCUGUCUACCAUUGAUUCAAAGAAUAAGUUUGCGUAGACCGUAACUAUCUAUUAUGAUGAAAGCCAACAUGAAGCUAGAAAACCUCUCUCGACCAGUGGUGACAAUUAAAGUUCUGGCCCUUUUUCAUAUCAGAAUGAUAAAGCAGUACCUUGAAGUAUGAUUAUGAUGUCGUAGUCAACCCAGAUGCUGCCAACAUAACGGGUGUAGGAGGCAUAACUCGAAGUGGCAGGUGCUAUACCCAGAGGCUCUAAAAAAGCUAGAAAGAGAAAGCCAAGGUAGGAGAAGAAAAUGAAAGUCAGAGUGGUCUUGACACAACCCUAGAAAAAGAAUGUCAGAAGCCAGUAUCUGAGAGUGAAGCAGGUGAAUUUUUGAAGUUAAUAAAACAUAGCGAGUAUAGCGUGGUAGAACAGCUUAACAAGAUGCCAGCUAGAAUUUCUAUUGUCAUUAUUGCUCAGUUCAGAGUCACACCGUAAUGCUUUACUGAAGGUGCUAAAUCAAGCAUAUGUGUCUCACAAUGCUUCUGUUGAAUAUGUGGAACAGCUUGUUGGUAAUCUGACGAUUUCAAACUAUAUCUCUUUAAUGAUGAAGAGAUUCCUCCUGAAGGUAGAGAAGUACCAAGGCUCUUCACAUUACUGUGAAAUGUAAAAGUCAUAUAAUGGCUAAGGUUUUGAUUGAUAAUGGCUCAUCCAUCAAUGUUAUGCCUGUGACUACUCUGGCAAAACUCCUGUUGAUGGAUCUUAUAUGAAACCUAGUCAUAUGAUAGUGAGAGCCUUUGAUGGAACCAGAAGAGAGGUGCUAGGAGAUAUAGAAGUGCCAUUACAGAUUGGCCCAUGCAUUUUCAAUGUGAAAUUUCAAGUUAUGGACAUCUCCUUCAUACAGUUGUUUAUUGGGUAGACCGUGGAUCCAUAUGGCAGGUGCUGUCCAUCCUCAUUACAUCAAAAAGUAAAUUCAUUGUUGAAGGAAGCUAACAUGUGUGGCAGGAGAAGAAGAUUUAUUGGUAACUCAACCGAUAAAUACUCCUUAUGUGGAAUCGCAGAUGAAGCUUAGAAUGCUCUUAUAGAUCUUUCGAGAUUGCCAAUGCAACAUAUAUAGCUGAAGGAUCUAAAUUGUAUUCCACACUUAUCUACGACUACUAAAAUGGUAGUCAAACAACCUUAUCAAAAUGGGAUGGCAACCUGAAAGUCAGACUUAAGGAAGAACCAUAUAAGAAAUUAUGAAGCCAUCGACCAUAUAUGAAAAGAGAGACAGGUUUAGCUUGGGAUAUAACCGAAGAGGGGGACAGAGUAAAGAAUGGUGGAAUGAGAAAAGAGAUAAAAGGAUAACUAAUCUUAGGGGAUAUGACGGCGUGAGUCAGAACCCAUAGUCAUUCUUCAACCUCUAUGAUUCUUUUCACUCGGAGGAUACAUUUAUCCAGAUUUACCGGGAGCCUCAAGUGCAGGAUUCAUGGAAAAAAUUUUCAGAGCUGGCCAUUCAAAUGUGGAUAUGAGAAAAGAAAGAGUCGAAGUGAAGAGCUAUUCGUGUACCCUUGUCCUUCAGAUUUUGAGCUGGAUAAUUGGAAAGUUACAGAGCUGCCUGUUGUUUUUAAAAACUUUGAAAAAGUAAUGUUGAAACUUUAAAAUCCCUAAUUACUUUCUACGAGUAUUAGGAGAUCUUUUAUGGUGUGUUUAUGUUUGUCAUUUUAAUAAAAGACUUAGAAGAUGCAUCCAUAUUUCUUCUAUUUUUUUCAUCAUUUUACCUUUCAUUUUUUCUUUCCUCAUUUUCUUGCCAUUCCAUUUUUGUGUGCCAAUAUUCUCUUCAUCUUACCCUUUGCAGGGUCCCAAACAAUGAACAUGAAGAUAAUCAUGGCAAUAAUCUCGGAUUUGAUUUUGAAAACUUAAUUCAUGUUGAUGAACUUGAUAAUGAGGAAGAUUCAGAUAACUACACACUGCCUCUUGAUUUGUUAAAAUUAAUAGAACAUGAAGAUAAGCCAAUUGAACCCCACCAAGAAAUUACUGAAUCAGUAAAUUUGGGAGAUGGUGAAAACAGAAAAGAGGUAAAGUUGGUACAUCUCUUUUACCAGCUGAAAGACAGAAGCUAGAAGAGCUACUCCGAGAAUAUGUAGAUGUGUUCACGUGGACUUAUCAGGAUAUGCCAGGACUCAGCACUGAUAUUGUAGAGCACAAGUUACCUUUAAAACCAGGAUGUAAGCCGAUGCAGCAAAAGCUAAGGCGCAUGAAACCAGAGAUGUGCUGAAAAUUAAAGAGAAGUGAAGAAACAAUUCGAUGCUGGAUUUUUAAAGUGGCAAAAUAUCCUGAAUGGGUAGCCAACAUAGUGCCAGUUCCUAAGAAGGAUGGAAAAGUGAGAAUGUGUGUCGAUUAUCGAGAUUGAAUAGCAAGCCCUAAGGAUAACUUUUUUACCUCACAUCGAUACUCUAGUGGAUAAUACUGCUAGGCACUCACAUUUUCCUUUAUGGAUGGUUUCUCAGGCUAUAAUCAGAUCAAGAUGGCUCGAGAUGAUAUGGAGAAAACUACAUUUGUGACCAUGUGGGACAUUCUGUUACAAAGUCAUGCCUUUUGGGUUGAAAAAUGCUGGUGCUACUUAUCAAAGAGCAAUGGUGACUCUUUUCAUGACAUGAUGCAUAAAGAGAUAGAAGUGUAUGUAUGAUAUGAUUGUAAAAUCUCGUGAAGGAGAGGAUCAUAUAGUCAAUCUCAAAAAGCUGUUGACAGGUUGAGAAGAUUUCAGUUGAAGUUGAAUCCUGCCAAAUGUACAUUUUGCAAGUCAAAAAAACUAUUGGGCUUUGUAGUCAGUGAAAAAGGAAUCGAAGUGGACCCGGAUAAGAUACAAGCCAUCCAAAACUUAUCUCCUCCUCAUACCUCAAAAGAAGUGCGAGGUUUCUUAGGGAGAUUAAAUUAUAUUGCUCGCUUCAUCUCUCAACUCACUUAUAAGUGUGAUCCUAUUUUCAAGCUUCUCAGAAAACAUGAUCCUGGAGAAUGGAAUGACGAAUGCCAAGAAGCUUUUGAUAAGAUCAAAGAAUACUUGUCAAAUCCACCUGUGUUGGUGCCACCAAUGCAACAGAAAAACCUUUGAUUUUGUACUUGACAGUGCAUGAAAAUUCAAUGGGAUGUGUGCUGGGACAAAGAGAUGAAACUGAUAAGAAAGAACGAGUAAUUUACUACUUGAGCAAGAAGUUCACUGAUUAUGAGUCAAAAUAUUCCACCAUUAGAGAUGAUGUGUUGUGCAUUAACUGGACAGCUCUGAAGGCUAUAGACAAUAAUGCUUUAUCAACAUCUACUUGAUCUCAUAGCAAAGCUGGAUCCUAUUAUAUGUCUUCGAAAAACUCUCAUUGUACAGGAGAAUCACACUGGCAAGUUAUGCUUUCAGAAUAUGAUAUCAUUUAUGUGACUCAUAAAGGCUAUAAAAAAAGAGUGCAAUAACUGAAUUCUUGCUGAUCGUGCACGUCGAAGAUUAUGAGUCAAUGAAAUUAGAUUUUCCUGGAUGGAUGUGAUGGCCAUUGAAGAAAAUGAACGCUGUUGAAAAUCAUGGAAGAUGUUUUUGAUAGGAGCUGCUAAUGUUUGGGUCAUGGUAUUGGGUAAUUUUGAUAUCUCCUGAUGGACAUAUUAACCAUCACAGCCAGAUUAAAUUUAAUUGCACAAACAAUGUGGCUGAAUAUGAAGGCCUGUGUUAUGGGUCUACAAGCAGCAAUUGAAAAGAAGAUCAAAGUGUUAGAUGUGUUUGGAGAUUCAGCUUUAGUCAUCUAUCAGUUACGAGGUGAAUGGGAAACAAGAGACUCUAAGUUGAUUCGUACCAUAAAUACAUCUCUGAGUUGGUUAAGCAAUUUAAAGAAGUUCAGUUUGAGCAUCUACCUAGAGAGGAAAACCAAAUUGCUGAUGCACUGGCUACUCUAGCUGCAAUGAUCAAAAUAGAUGCAAAUACUGAAAUCCAACCCAUCAAGCUGGAUGUGAAAGAUGUACCAGCACAUUGCUCAGGUGUUGAAAAAGAAAUUGAUGGAAGGCCAUGGUAUCAUGAUAUCAUGCAAUACAUUAAAAGCCAGCAAUACCCAGAACAUGCAAUAAAAAAUGAUAAGAGGACUAUCAGAAGAUUGGCUAUGAGUUUCUUCAUUGAUGGAGAUAUCCUUUACAAAAGAGGUCGAGAUCAAGUGCUCUUAAGAUGUGUAAAUGCAGCUGAAGCAAAGAAGAUUAUUGAAGAAGUGCAUGAAGUUUGUGGGGCACAUGCAAAUGGUCAUAUGAUGGCUAGACAAAUUAUGAGGGCUGGCUAUUAUUGGUUGACAAUAGAGGACUGUAUUGAUUAUGCUAGGAGAUGUCAUAAAUGUCAGAUUUAUGCUGACAAGAUUCAUGCUCCAUCAACAUUACACGUUCUAGCUCCUCCUGGCCAUUCUCUAUGUGGGGCAUGGAUGUCAUUGGUCCCAUCACUCCAAAAGCUUCGAAUGGGCAUAGAUUCAUUUUUGUGAUGAUUGAUUACUUCACCAAAUGGGUAGAAGCUGCAUCAUAUGCUAGCGUGACCCGAUCUGUGGUAUGUAAGUUCAUAAAAAGAGAGAUAAUAUGCAGAUAUGGGCUUCCAGAGAUAAUUAUUUCUGAUAAUGCCAAAAACUUGAACAACAAAAUGAUGAAUGAAGUAUGCACUCAGUUCAAGAUCCGUCAUCGUAAUUCGCACCAUAUCGUCCGAAAAUGAAUGGGGCAGUGGAGGCUGCGAAUAAGAAUAUCAAAAGAAUCCUGGAGAAAAUGACUGAAACUUACAAAGAUUGGCAUGAGAAGUUGCCUUUUGCCUUGCAUGCUUAUAGAACAUCAGUCGAACAUCUACUGGGGCCACACCGUUCUCUUUGGUAUAUGGAAUGGAAGCUGUGCUACCGUCGAAGUGAAAAUUCCCUCACUGAGAGUCCUGAUGGAGGUAGAGUUAGAGGAAGCAGAAUGGGUUCGAAAUCGCUACGAGCAGUUAAACCUCAUCGAAGAGAAAAGAUUGUCAGCACUUUGUCAUGGUCAAUUAUAUCAAAAGAGGAUGAUGAGAGCACAUGACAAGAAAACUCAUCCCCGUUGCUUUGGAAGGAAGACUUAGUGCUAAAAAGAAUCCUUCCAAAUCAACAUGAUAAUCGAGGGAAAUGGACACCAAAUUGGGAAGGCCCGUAUGUGGUGAAAAAGGCCUUUUCUGGUGGGGCAUUGAUUUUGGCAGAAAUGGACGGAGGUGAUUUGCCUACCCCAAUAAAUUCAGAUGUUGUGAAGAAAUAUUUUGCUUAAAAAAAAAAGAAAAAAAAAUGAUGACUUAUCUAAGCUGAAAACCUGAAAAGGGGCUUGGAUGUGAAGCAGAAGCAUCAUCAAGAAAAGAUCCCACAAUGCAGGGGCAAGUGUAGUUUGACGAACUCUGAAUGAUCAAAAAGUCAUCUGAUUUAGUUUUAGAGAAAGAAUCUGAGAAUAUUUUGUUCAUGAUUAUCUUGUGAUCAUUCUUUUGACACUUUUGUUUCAACUCAAACACUUUGACAUGCACUUGUUAUCAGCCAUAUGAAAUACAUUAUCUUUCCUUUGAAAAUAAUGCCUAUCCUUUCUUUAUCCUUAUCUGAUUUUUUGUCAUCGUCAAGUGAAUAAGAGAAAUGUGUGAUUGCAUUUUAUUUGUCUUGAACUUAAAAUGAUGAAAAGAAAAACAAACAUGAAAGAUCUCAGCAUUACUUUUAAAGUUGACAAAGGCAAAUGAAAAAGGAUGAGAAAAGCAUGACAAGACAUUGAUGUUGCAGACUUUUGAAAAAAAAAUAUUAUGGUCAGAUGUUGAGAACAGAUUGGUCAUAUAAGAAUUUUGAUAAAAGAAGCCAAAAGUGAGAGAUUUCGAGAACCUUUUUACUACAAUGAAUGAUUUUGAUUGCAUUACAUGCAUUGCAUUAUGAGCACUCAGUACAUGCAUCCAUGAGAAGUUGUAACAAAGAUAGAAAUUUUCCAUUUCUUAAUGAAAAACAAGAUUUUGGUAAAGACAAUGAUCAAACAAAAGAAUUCAAAAGAGAAAUUUACUUGUUCAAAGAUGAGAACUCAAAUUUGAAAACAAGAUGAAAUUUUAAAGUUGUUGAGCCUCUGCUGAGAGGAGCUUUUUCAAGAGAAUUUUAAAGUUGUUGAGCCUCUGCUGAGAGGAGCUUUUCAAGAGAAUUUUAAAGUUGUUGAGCCUCUGCUGAGAGGAGCUUUUUAAGAGAAUUUUAAAGUUGUUGAGCCUCUGCUGAGAGGAGCUUUUCAAGAGAAUUUUAAAGUUGUUGAGCCUCUGCUGAGAGGAGCUUUUCAAGAUGAAUUUUAAAGUUGUUGAGCCUCUGCUGAGAGGAGCUUUUCAAGAUGAGAUUUUAAAGUUGUUGAGCCUCUGCUGAGAGGAGCUUUUUCAAGAAAUUUUAAAGUUGUUGAGCCUCUGCUGAGAGGAGCUUUUCAUGAGAUUUUAAAGUUGUUGAGCCUCUGCUGAGAGGAGCCUUUUUUUAAACUUUCAAAAUAUUAAUUGAACCUCUGUUGAAAGAAGCCUUUUCUGUCGAACCAAAAAAAAAAUUUUUUUUUUCUCAAUGUUUCAUCUUUCCAAGCAAAAAUGGUUGUUUUUGUCUUUGUCUUAUUCCUGAUUCACAGAAAUAGGCAAAGAGGGGCAACUGUAAACACCAUUUAUUUUAAUUUUAUUAUUUUAUUAUUAUUUAAUUUUUUUUCUUUUCUCUUUUGCUGUUUCUUCAUUUCUGCGUUUUCUUCUUCUUUUUUUCUUUUUCCUUUUUCUUCAUCCUUAUCUGGUUCAAAUCUAGUGCAUUAAAUGCACAAUCCCUAAAGUCAAAAGCACCACUGAUAGCUGCCAACAAUCGACAAGCCACCAAUCAUGGACAGUAGGUGUGAUUUUUCAGUUAAAAAAUGGGAUUCGAAUCCCAAAAAAUCUAAGAUUCGAAUCCCAACAAGCUCUAUAAAUAGAGCUUGCAAACCAGACCAAAGAAGAAACGGAAGCAAAAACGGUAAAAAAAAAAAAAAAGAAUGGCAGAUUCUGUCGAAAAAAUUUUGUAAAAACACAAAAAAAGGGCAAAAUCACAGUCUCCAAACAGGGGAACCCAGCGCCAGAAAAGCCACCUACACAAAAAAAAGAGAUCAGUCAAUUCUAUCCACCAAAAAAAAAAGAAAGAGAAAGGAGACCGAAACUUUGAGCCCCGAUCGACGUGUUUCCGAUAAAAAAGACAUCGGAUCUGAAAAGAUCGCGUCGAAAAAAAUUUUCAUAAGUAUUUUCACCUUUUUCGGUGAUCGAAAACCACCGACAGCAACUACCGGCAACGAGCCAGACGAUGAUCGGUGCGGUGGUCGGACGACUGGCCGACGGACCUCUCCCCCAGCUCUCUCUCUCCGUCAGACAGACACGAAACCGUUAUAACAAAUAUAAUUGAAGCUCAUAGUUCCAUGGAAUAUCGACAAAAAUGGUACUUUAAACCAAAAAGUGAAAUCAUGUUUUACUUUGGUUGGGUAAUACAAGUUUCUUUAGUAAACCACUACAUUGUAAAAGGAAGAUUCUUUUCAUUUGUACAUGCAAAUUCAGCUCAAGUAGGUUGAAUUACUGUAUAUGCAAAUGAAAUUCUUGGUUCAAUUGCCAAUUUUAUGAAGCAGUUGAUUAUAUGAAUAUGAUGGAGAUAUUUUUCCAAACAACAACCAUGUAUUUCUUUCAUAAUUAAACUUGAAAUUAGAGCUUGCCAUUUCCCAAAACCUCAAAAAAAGACCUUGGCUUGUUUCUGAGCCUAGUGACGCUUUUGCAGACAAUUAUAAAUCACGUGGGGGCCUGAAAAUAUUCCUAUCCUGUCAAAACAAGUACUAAAAAUUUUGACAGAAAAUUUACCCCCUCGUGCAUGUUGCCACGUAGACUGCGCCCUUCUCAAAAACCUAACAUAUUUUUUCAUCAACAGAGGAGCGGCGCUUGUGCUGUCAUCAGGGGCCUUUCCGUCAUUUCGUUACCCUUUUCUCUAGGGUUUUUGGUGUCUGUCCCUGACCGCCCUCUCACUCCCAGUCGGUUUCUUCUCACUCUCAUAUUUAUUUUUGCAUUUUUUUUUCUUUCCUCAUUUUAUUAGCACAUUUUAGCUUUUCUUUUCUUUUGGGUUUCUGGGUUUUGUUCUUUGAGAGAAAAAGUUCUCUCCUUUCCUCUUUUCUUAUUUUCAAUGAAAUGAUAAAGGUUUCUGAUAGUUACAAAUUUGUUAUAUCUUUGUCCUUCAAGCUCGAGUAGCCUUCUGUUUUCUUUGCCAUUCUGUUUUAAAUCAAAGAUUUUCAAAGAGUUGCUUCAUGGGUUGUAAUGGAUCUGAGAGGAAAGGUUGGUAAAAAAUCACCUUUAAUUCAAACUUUUCUCCCAACCCAUUGUUUUUUUUUUUUUUUAAUACUUACCUUGAUCGCUGUUUAUGAUUCAGAAAUCAUUGGGUGAAGAUAUGAUGAGUGGGAAUAACAAGAAGUCUUGUACUGAUUGCAAGACCACAAAGACACCUCUUUGGAGAGGUGGUCCUGCUGGCCCCAAGGUAUUAUUUUUACUUUCCAUUUCCAUAAAAAAGCUUCUCUUUUAUAAGCUUCAGUCUAUUGCUUUUCUUUUAAAAUCAACUACAAUCAGUUCUCUGCUAAAGCUUACAACUUUUUCCUACAUAACUUUGUUUCUUUUGUUUUAAUUGAUGAGUCUUUGUCCCAUUUGGUUGCUUAAAGACUCAAAGUACUCUUUUGUAUUUUGGUUAAUAAUCAAUUAAUCAUCACCAGCCUAUUAAUUUAAUUUGCUUAAAGCAUUUUCAUCUAGGUUUCAUGUCUUGUGUUUCACUUAUUUGCCAAUUAAUUUAAUUGAUCCUGGCUUAUGAUUGUUGGGGUUUUUUUGGUCAUUUCAGUCACUGUGCAAUGCAUGUGGGAUCAGAUACAGGAAAAAAACAAAAGCAAUGUUGGGUUUGAAGAGAGGAUCAGAGAAGAAGAAGAAAGAGAGAUCACAAUCAUCACACAGCACAAUUACAACCAGCUCUGCUUCUAUUGCUACAACUGAUAAUGUUGGUGAAAGUAAGAAGCCCAGUGGCAAAUUUAAUGGGUUGAGUGAGACUACGGAGAUGAGAUUAUUUGCUUUGGGAAGUGAGGUUUUGCUGCAAAGAUCAUCAUCAACAACAACAAAUUCUUCAUUAUCAUUAUCUGGGGUGGUGAAGAAGCAAAGGUGCCAAAGGAGAAGGAAGUUGGGAGAGGAAGAACAAGCUGCUUUUUCUUUGAUGGCAUUGUCCUGUGGCUCAGUUUUUGCUUGAUAAUGAGACACAGGCAAGAAACCAAAAGUGGGGGUUACAAAAAACCCUAACCAACACAGCUUUUUUUUUUUUUUUUUUCUAGUUUUGCCUUUUGUUUCUUUUUAGGCGAAAUGAAAUACCCUAGUUCUUGACUGCUGUUUUGUUCUUUUUUUCCUUUGGAGAAUUGAGGGGAAGAAAGAAUAAAAAAAGGGGAGAGAAGCAGAGGAAAGUAAUGUUUUUGUGGAUGGAUUGAUCAUGGCUCAAUCGUAAUGUAAAUAUUAGCAGCUUCGGAAUCAAUGAACAAAUGAAAUUUUUAUCUUUUAAGUGGGCAUUGCAGUCAUUUCAUUCGUACUACGAUAUCUUAUCCAAGCAAUUUAACUGUAUUUGGUUAUGAAUGAUUAUUCAAGCAAAUGGAUUGUAAAAAUUUUGGAUUGUUUAUAGUACUAGUGUUAAUAAUUGUCUUCACUUUGGGAAUGGUUUCUGUUUUAAGGUAUUUUCUUGGGUUAGAAGGGGGGAGAAUUGGCUUGGGCUGGUCAACUCACCCUGCAAAUGGACGACUCAGCUGAGACAAUUUUUUGAGGCCUUUGUUAAUUGGACACAACACAAGGCAACUUGAUGAGUCUGGGGGUGGUUCUGGUUACUUGUAGUUGAACCUUUUCACAAACACGUAAUGGGCUUUUCUGCACGUUUCGAAUCACUGCUAAAAUAAGUCACGUCGCUCUCUCCCUCUCAUAUGUUUGGUUGCUGGGAAACUUAAAGAAAAUGAGAGAAAGUUUUUCAUAUUAAUAAGUUUAUGUUCAUUUCAUGAUUUGAAAAUGAAAAGAGAAAGUAAAAGAAAGCACAAUCGAACUUGGCAAAAAAGUUGUUUUGAUUUAAAACCUACUUCUGAAUGGAUAACAAAGGAGCAAAAUCUUAAGAUUUGACUUCAAAUUUUAACUUUUGUUUUGGGUUUCUUUCUUUUUAUUUGAACAUUGAAACCAAAUGGAGCAUUAAAUUGCUUUUUGUGAAUCCAUUAAAGUGUGAUUCUUUUUUCUUUUAGCUAUCAAAGAGCUUCAUCUUCCCUCUUUUUCUUUAAUUGUAAUAUUGAUGUCAAAUAAAGCGAACUUUCUCUGAUUUUUCGUCAUUUUGGUUCAGUUUUUGGUGUAAAGGUUGGCUUAAAAGGUGUAGUUCUUAAGUUCAUAGUGAUUAGUUGGUAUAAAAUUAGGAUUAAAGUUCACUCCUUGAUGGCUUGUUCAACAGUUUUCAAUGAUGUGAGAUUGGUAAACUUCCCCAUAGAAACUAGUUUGAAGAUGGGAUUUUUGAAGGUUUCUCUUCAUCUCCUUUAUUCAAGUUUACUUUGCUUUUAGUUUAUCUGAUCUGGUCAGAAUCAUAUUUUGGUCUUAGUUUGAUUAAUAGGAAUCUUUAAUUUGGAGUCGUAGUUCAAGGCAAUUUAUCUUGUGCAAGAAUGGGAUAAUAAUCGCCACUGUGGACUACAUUCAUGAAGUUAUUAAAUCUCUUUGUGGAUGGAUUAUUCAAGUUUACUUUGAAUUUAAACAAAACAGAAAUAAGUGAAAAUCAACAGCUUCAGUACUGUGGAAUUCAACAGAUGAUUCCAAAGAAAAAAUGCUUAGUUGACCUUGUGACAUUUAUCAUUUACGAUACUGAGACUUCAGGUCUUAGCAGAAAAGAUGAUAGAAUCAUUGGGAUAGCUCUUCAAGAUCUGUCUGGAGGUCAAAACGGUACAUUUCAGACAUUGGUUAAUCCUGGACAGUAUGUAGCAAAUUCACAUAUCCCUGGAAUCACAACCAACGUGGUUUGUAGACCUGAUGUUCCAAGGUACAAUAUUUCUUAAUUGCUCUUUAUUUUCUUUGGUUUCUUCCACCAUUUAUGAAGUCAAAAUGAGAAAUUCAGUUUAAUGGGUGAUUUGUUGCAGUUUGUGCUUAUAGAUUACUAUAUGGACCUUUUGAAGGAUGGAGGAACUAAUCUCUGUUGUUGACAUGGUUUAGUUGUAUGUAAAAGGCUUGACAUUGAAUUUAUAUUUAUCCACAGGAUCCAACCUCCCCUCUGGAACAUCCUUACAAGCCCUUAGCGAGCACUACGGAAUUCCUGUGGCUGGUUCAGCUCAUAGAACCAUGUCUGAUGUAAGAACCUUAGCCAUGAUUCUACAGAUGUUGACAUUCGACUUGAAACUCUCACUCCCUAACCUUGUGAGAAGAUCUCCCACAGUCUUCCAAUAUAUCAACAACAAAAGGAAAAAGAACUUAGCUCAUGUAUCCGCAUUUUUUAUUUUUUUGGAAAUUUUCAACCAUUUCAGGCCGACAUAUACUUCAGCCGUGUAAGGAUGUAUGUUUUUUCCCAUGACUUUAGCUUCUAUUAUUUGAACAGCUAGCACCAUAGAAAGGUUUGAUUUGUUCUGUUCACUAGAAAGUAUUGUACAAUGCUGCAAGAGAAUAUUGCCUUUGUUUUCCACAGAAUGACACCCUUUGUCAUUGAAAUCUCCAUGAUGAUGAUAAAACAAGAGGACGAUAUAGGGCUAAUUCUGCUCUGCAGGUAUGGUUAACUCUGAUAGAUUCUGGAAAUGCGAAACAAGAAGGAUUCCUACUUAUUGUAAAGGAAUUGGCUUAAGUUGUUGCCAUUUCUCCUGGAAGCUCCAAUAAAAUGUACGAGUUUUCUGUUUUCAGGGGAAAAAUACAACAAUGCUUUCGUUGAGAGUUGAACUCAAGACCUCCCGCUUACUAAACGGGUGCUCUAACCAACUGAGCUACGAAAGCAGCAGUGGUGAGUUUCCAAAAUUAAAUAUGAGAAAAAAACAACUUACGACUUCACGCAGUCCCCCCAGAGGAGAAUUCGGCCUUUUACGCUCAAUUAUCAAGGCAAUCUUAUCAUGACAAAUUCAAGGGGUAAAUUCCGUAGAAUGUCAGAGUCUCAUAUAUUAUAACAAUGUGAAUUUGUCAUUUUUUUUUUCAAAUCAAAAGAAUUGAUACAAGUAAAUAGGCAGUGCCUCAUCUCCUCGUAUGGGAACCAGCUAGAUAUCUCCCAAGGAAUACAAACGAAUCAAUACAGCUCCUUGCUGAAGGAAAAAAAAAAAAACCAUUAUAAGCUCUAUACAGAUCCUGGGGCAUCGAAACCCUGGUUAAACAACAGCCUUUCCCCCUCUUUUUCUCCAAAACCUUAACAAAAAGGGACAAGAAGAGAAAAACGAAGAGAAAGAAAACAAGUAAACAUGAAUAUUUAAAGUGGUAUGUGUAUAUGGGGAAAUUCAAAAUUCCCACAUUCUUAUGCUGGCCGAGGAAAUUGUUGACUCUCGACAUGUCAAGUAAUGGGCCCACAACGCGGGUCAAAAUGGAAAUGGUCAGGAAAAAACCAUGCCUGCAGAUCAAAAAAGUAUCUCUUUGAGGAUUAGGAGGACCAACAUGACAAAGCACAUAAUAACAAGCACUGAAGCACACAUCACCAUCCCUCCUUGUUUCUGUGUUCUCUCCGCCUGCAUGUCCAAUCCAUACAAGAAUUAGACAGAGUCCCAGAAAACAUCUAAAUGUAGAUCACUAAUGGAAAAAGACAGAAACCUUCUGUAGCUGUUUGAGGCCUUCCUCCACCGUAGUUGCAACAUUCUGAAUGUUGUAGUCUAUCCGAUCGACAAUAGUGCCCUGUUUAGGGAGAAAACUGCAUUUAAUGACUCCGGAAAAGUUUGUAACUUAUUCCCAAGGCUAGAUGGACUCCUACCUGAUCAAUCACAAGAACUGACAGAUCCUUCAUAAUCUGAGCAACCUCAUUUACUGACUCCACAACCUAUAAAAAGUAUUUUAAUAUAUAUAAAUAAUUAGUUAGGGAUAGCUAUGAGAGCAGAAUCAGAUAAGAAAAAUAUCAAGAGUAAUGCACUUACCUGUUGGAUCUCCCUUUCCCUCUCAACUGUGAAUGCCUCACUUUGCUUUAGCUUUGCCAUUUGAUGCUCAUUGAAUACCUAAAUGACACAAUUGUGAAACAUUAGCAUCUAACACCAAACUGGAAUCAAUAAAAGACACUAAACUAUCAAAGCCGAAUAUCAAAGGAGAGAUAAGAAAGUCAAGUUAGGCACAUUUCGGAGCUUGAUGUCCAACAUGCAAUUGAGCUUCAAUGCAUGCUAUUGGGAGGUCAGCACCCUAAAACUCAUGUUUACUAAAAUGUCUUUAGUUUGAUCAUAUAUGAUGGAAAUAUUAAACGGGAGAGGGUUUAAAGAAACCACAAUACCAUAUCACCCAAGUCAUCAUCUUCUGCUUUAGAUCUAUUUCCAUUUAGAUUCAUCUCUAGAUCAACUCCAUCCUGACCCUAAAACAGCAAGCAAUAAUUUAGUUACACCAAAAACAUCAAAACACAGAAAUGAAUGGAAUAAGUUUGAAAUUGAAUCUGUUUGACCAUUUGGGCUUUAGCACAUGUAACUGCAACCAAAUAUGAUACAAUGUUGCAUUGUCAAAAAGAAAGUUUCGUUCUAUACCUCUUUUUGCUGCCUGAGGCGCUUCAAAUAAGUUGAAUUGUUUCUCCGGAGCUCCACUGAAAGCUUCUGGAGGUCAGUGGCAAGUGAACGCUGCCAAAAGGUGAAAAACAUGAAAAGAAAGAAAUGCAAACAAAACACAGUUCAGAAUCAUUGCGGGAAUACAAACUGAAAUAAAAUGUCAGAGGGCAAAAAAGAAUAAAGUACUAGACGUCAGGAAUUAACUACUUCCCUCUGGCAAUGAGACCGGGUUUAUGGACUAGAAAAAUCAAUGCCUUUUAUCCUCUCCAAAUCAGUAACGGAAAGAAGUAAAGAAAGCAUACACGCCAAGAAUAGAUAAAUUAUGCGUAGAAGUCUUUUAUCCUCGACAAAAAAUGGAGCACUUGACACUGUUUCAUGUUUGUCUCAUCCUCUCCAAGAAUGUUGUCUUAACAGUUGGAAACUGAAAUAUGCUACUUCUAAAAUUAGGCCAUUAGACAAUCACUGAGCAAACAUAAAUAGAAUCCACAUCCACAUACAAAAUGAAUAAGUGACAGGCGACAAUCUUGCCUAAAUGAUUGGAUUUCCUGACCUUGACAUAGAGCCACACAAGUGAAUUUGAUGGCCACUAAGCCUUACCUGAACAUUUUUCCUGAUAUUUGAAUCCUCAGAAGGUCCAGCUUUGAGUUUCCGUAAUCUCUUCUCUGAUUGCUUCAACAGAUUAGUUAUCUCAUGAGUAAGAGCCUCAAUAUUCUGAUGAUCUUCUUUACCAUCACCAAAUGAAGGCAUUAAAGCCUUUGCAUGAGCCUUGGCUAACUCGGCCAUUUUUGUCUGUGCACGUUGCACGUUUGCUGCUAUUUCUUCAGAUACAUCUACCCAAGCUGGUGGUAGACCGACGGUAAUUGCACCCGUACUGCAACAGGCAGACAAUCCCUUAUUUUCCCACUACAUAAUUUUAUGACCAUUCAAACAAAGUACUUAAUAGAUGAACUCACAACUAGUUGAAAGAGAAAAUGAACUUCAGAAGAAAUCCCGAUAGUAAUUAUAUCUACAUUUCCCUCACUGUAAAGCCUUGAUCUUUCACUGUACUGCAUAAACCUCCCCAUGAGCUCCAGAGCUCUUUCAAAAUCAUUUAAAUAUCUCAUAACUAAAUAAUUCUCAUAAGAAUUAUUCAUUGAUCAACAACAAUUCAACCACAUUCAUUUGUACGGAUCUCUUCGAUGCCAAUUCCUCAAAAGAUAGUUCUUUGUACAAACAAAUUAACACUUUAUUAAACUUUUGAUUAGCCUAAACCUCUAUAUGCAAUUUUAGAAAAACAAAAUUAAAAAAGGAGAAUAAUUCACCUCAAUUAAGCUAACUAAUCACAAUCUAAACAAAUUCAAGCAUAAUUAAAAAAAAAAAUUCCGAUCUCGAUCUUGAAUUCUUGACCUUGAUUCAACAAUUAAUAGAAAAAAUUAACAUGAUCAAUAUAAUAGUUGGAAAUAUAAUAUUACCUGAAUUUCCCAGGAUCCUCGGUACGUAGAGGAGUAUAGACCGGUUUUGGAUGGAGCAACGAAGUACUAACCAUCUCAAUUACAGGUCCUGCACCGGAGCUUGUCGCUGCGGACAAGCUCACCGGAAUUCUAACACUCUUCAAGGCAUCCCUGUAUUUCUUGAAUAUCAGCGUUCGUUUCCUCGUCGCCAUAGCUCCAAAACGAAAAAUAUAUAUUGCCUAAAAUUUAAAUCUAAAUCUAAAUUCAGAUUCAGAUUAAGAAUUUAGAAAUCUAAGAUUUGAGGUUUUCUCAUAGUGGAGGUAGAGAAAAGCAAAAUUGAGGGGUGGCCACGUGACCGGAGGUCGGUGAUUGGCAGUUGAACAGAAACGAACGACGGAGUCACGUGCCGACGAAGCUGAGGAUCGUUCUUAAAAGGAACCCAAAAAAAGUAUAAAUGAAAAAAUGAUUGGGUGCGGACGGACGAUUUUUUAAAUUUUAUUGGGCUCUUAGUUUCCAAUUAGGUCGGCUUAAGUUAAUAGCGAAGGGUCCUACUCUACAGUGACAUCUCGACCCGACCCGAUCCGAAUCACAUUAUGACAGUAACAGGAUAAAGAGAACAAUAUAAAAGGCCAAGAGUUGCUAAAAAAUUUCCCUUCUUCCACGCAAUUAAGAGGAACAACCACAAGCAGCUCUAUCCAUCUCUCUCGCUUUCAUCAAACCCCACAGACCUAGCAAGCUUCCUUCUCUCUUCUCCUUUCUUUUUUAUUGGAUUUUUAUUAAUCUAAUUUACUUCACAAAUCCAAGAUCGGUGCUAAAAAAGUUUCGAGCUGUAACCCCCAGGAAUUAAAUCUUUCUUUUUUUUCUUUGGGUUGAAGAUUAAUUGGAGAAAGAGGUUGAUUUAGAAAUGGAUGCUGGUUCAUGGAGUGCUCGUCUUUCUUCAGCUUCUAAGAGAUAUCAAUCAGCUCUUCAAUCACGAUCUGGUAAGCUUUAAAAUCCCUUCUUUUUUUUCAAACUCUUUUGGGGGUUAAAUAUAUAUUUUUUGUGUGGUGGACAAUGAAGGUAAAUGAAGUAACUUGACUUAAUUGAUUUAGAAAAUAUUAGAUUUUUAACAAAAGUUUUGCCUUUUUCUAAAAAAAAAUGAUUUAAUGUUUGGAAAUGGGUUGAAAAUGCAGAUAUGUUUAUGGGGUUUGAAGAAAUAGAUGGAGAAGAUGAUAUAAGAGAGGAAUUUCCAUGCCCUUUUUGUUCUGAGUAUUUCGAUAUCGUCGGCUUGUGCUGUCACAUUGAUGAUGAGCAUCCUGUGGAGGCUAAAAAUGGGGUAUUGCUCUCUUUUCAUUUAUUUUUCAAUGCCCUUUUUAUCGUUAUGUAUUAUAAGCAAGAUUAGUAUUUUGGAUUGUUAAUUUUUUACAUGAUCGUUAUCUUUGUAAAUAAGAAUUUUUCAAAGUAGCAUAGUUCACUUGCCUGAAUUAAGCCUUGAAUUCUGAUCAGUCGGUUAAAAGGAAUUAAGAAGGGGCUUGUUUGUUAUGGACCCAAGUUUCAAAUUUUAAACUUUCGCCUCAAAAGUUACAUUUAGCUGUUAUUUUACUUAAAUGAUUCUUUUGAUAGUUAGAAUAUUGACGUUUGUUAUGAGAUUGAAAAUUUGAAUGAAUAAGUUUUGGACCAUGAGCUGUUGUUCAGCUCACUGGAAAAAUUGGCUCUAGUGUUGAUUUUGCUUACAAGUAUGGUAUUGAUACUGGUUUAUAGUAGGUUGAUCUGUAAUAUGUAAGUUUGGGAAAAGUAGUUUAUAGUUUUUGUUUACAGAUUGUUCUGUCACAUGGUGCGAGACCUUUUAUUGUAAUGGGGAAAGGUAUUUAUUGAAUCUAAACUCUGUUUGUGAUGGUUGUUUUUGUUUGCAGGUAUGUCCGGUCUGUGCAACAAGGGUGGGAGUUGAUAUGGUUGCGCAUAUAACCCUACACCAUGGAAAUAUAUUCAAGAUAUCCUUGUCUAUUGAGUUAUUGUUUAUGAUAGAUUGUCUUUGGAAUCCCUCUUUAACCUGUAUAGAUAAGUUCUUUCUUUUCAUGUUCCAUGUACCUUGAAAAUCAUCAUUGGAGCCUGCUAAAUUCGUAGAAUUUGAUUGUUGGUUCUCUUUUAUACCUGCAAACUUUAUCAUCUUUGUUCCUUGUCUUGACCGCUGUGACCAUUAAAAACAUUUGGUCAGUUGGCAAAGAUGCCCCCUUCCCACUUCUCCUCUCCCUCUUUAGUGGAAUAAUAAAAGCAUUGCUAGCUUUGUUUGUGGGGCUUCCUUGUAUGACAGUUGCAUCAUUCUAAGGACUUGACUUAUAUAUAAUUUCAUUUCCUUAACAAAUUGUUACAUGCAGCGCAAAAGGAAAUCACGUAAAGGUGGAUCUCAUUCAACACUUUCUCUUCUGAGGAGAGAGCUGCGAGAAGGAAACCUACAAUCCCUCUUUGGGGGUUCUUCUUGCAUAGUGUCUUCAUCCAAUUCAGCACCUGAUCCUUUGUUGUCUUCAUUUAUUUUGCCCAUGGUUGAUGAUUAUGUUAGUGUUCACC